rnacentral:rRNA from 1 species
CCUACGGGAGGCAGCAGUGAGGAAUAUUGGUCAAUGGACGAAAGUCUGAACCAGCCAAGUAGCGUGAAGGAUGACUGCCCUAUGGGUUGUAAACUUCUUUUAUAUGGGAAUAAAAUGUUCCACGUGUGGGAUUUUGUAUGUACCAUAUGAAUAAGGAUCGGCUAACUCCGUGCCAGCAGCCGCGGUAAUACGGAGGAUACGAGCGUUAUCCGGAUUUAUUGGGUUUAAAGGGAGCGUAGGUGGAUUGUUAAGUCAGUUGUGAAAGUUUGCGGCUCAACCGUAAAAUUGCAGUUGAAACUGGCAGUCUAGAGUACAGUAGAGGUGGGCGGAAUUCGUGGUGUAGCGGUGAAAUGCUUAGAUAUCACGAAGAACUCCGAUUGCGAAGGCAGCUCACUGGACUGCAACUGACACUGAGGCUCGAAAGUGUGGGUAUCAAACAGGAUUAGAUACCCUGGUAGUC